UACGUAGGUGGCAAGCGUUGUCCGGAAUUAUUGGGCGUAAAGCGCGCGCAGGUGGUUUCUUAAGUCUGAUGUGAAAGCCCACGGCUCAACCGUGGAGGGUCAUUGGAAACUGGGGAACUUGAGUGCAGGAGAGAAGAGUGGAAUUCCACGUGUAGCGGUGAAAUGCGUCGAGAUGUGGAGGAACACCAGUGGCGAAGGCGACUCUUUGGCCUGUAACUGACACUGAGGCGCGAAAGCGUGGGGAGCAAACAGG
rnacentral:rRNA from 1 species